rnacentral:rRNA from 1 species
UACGAAGGGGGCUAGCGUUGCUCGGAAUCACUGGGCGUAAAGCGCACGUAGGCGGAUCUUUAAGUCAGGGGUGAAAUCCUGGAGCUCAACUCCAGAACUGCCCUUGAUACUGGGGAUCUUGAGUCCGGAAGAGGUGAGUGGAACUCCGAGUGUAGAGGUGAAAUUCGUAGAUAUUUCGCAAGAACACCAGUGGCGAAGGCGGACUCACUGGCCCGGUACUGACGCUGAGGUGCGAAA